UUAUAUAUAUAUAUAUAUAUAUACUCCUUGAGGCUGCCAAAAAUCCCAACUCUCUCUAUCUUUCUUUUAUCUUCAAACAGCCAUGGCUGCUGCAUUAGCAAGGCACUGCCUAACUCGUUUCUUCGAUUCAGACACCACCAAAUGCAGCAAUCACACUUAUUCCCUCCAUAACAAAUAUCAGGUAUGCACGCUCUCCAUGAACGGAUGCGAAGGAGACCCCAAGGUCCCGUUAGGCAGCAUCGAGACACGCACGUUGGCGGCGGUUCCAUCUCCGUCGAUGGCCAUGGACAGCCUUAACUCCGCCGUUAGAGAGCUGAAAUGCAACCCCCCUGCUUUUACCUCCGGCAUUAUUCGACUCCAGGUACCCAUACAGCAACAAAUUGAAGCAAUAGAGUGGCUCCAUGCUCAAGACCAGAUUCUUCCACGUUGCUUCUUCUCUGGUAGAAGAAGCAGAGCCCAUGGAAAUGGAUCCAAUCUCUUGAUGGACAUCACCAAUGGAAAUGGGCACUCCUCUUCUAACCGUAAUCUUGUCGGUGUUGCCGGUGUCGGAUCCGCCGUCUUCUUCCAACAACUUCAUCCUUUCUCAUAUCACGAUUGGAGGUCUAUCAAGAGAUUUUUGUCUUCAAAAUGCCCUUUGAUUCGUGCGUAUGGAGCAAUUCGUUUUGAUGCAAGGGCCGAGAUAUCACCUGAGUGGAAGGCAUUUGGUUCAUUUUACUUCAUGGUUCCUCAGGUGGAGUUUGAUGAGCUUGAAGGAAGUUCGAUGCUCGCCGUAACGAUUGCAUGGGACGAUGCCCUUUUGUGGACGUGGGACGAGGCCAUUGAUUCACUUGAAGCCACAAUGCAGCAGAUUGCUUUAGUUGUUGUAAAGUUGAAGAAAGAAGCUUCCGGAGAAUUCAUCCUCAGAAACAAUCAUAUUCCGAAUAAGACACAUUGGGAUAUUGCUGUAAAGAGAGCUUUGCAGAAAAUAAACUCAAACAGCUCACCGCUCACUAAGGUUGUGCUUGCCCGCAGCAGCAGGGUUUUAACUGCUACAAAUAUCGAUCCUAUAGCGUGGUUGGCAUGUCUGCAGGUUGAAGGUGAAAAUGCUUAUCAGUUUUGUCUCCAGCCACCAAAUGGACCAGCAUUUGUAGGAAAUACGCCAGAGCAACUAUUUCACAGAAAAUGGCUAAGCAUUAGUAGCGAGGCACUGGCAGGAACCCGCGCUAGAGGUGAAUCCAGAACUCUUGAUCUUCAAAUAGAGCAUGAUCUACUUUCCAGCCGCAAGGACCACCUGGAGUUUAUUAUAGUACGAGACAGCAUACAAAACAAACUAGAGUCUGUAUGUGAUAGAGUUGUCAUUGAGCCAAAGAAAACUGUACGAAAGCUUCGAAGAAUUCAACAUUUAUUCGCCCAGUUGGCUGGUAACCUGAGAAGGGAAGAUGAUGAGUUUGAAAUUUUGUCAUUUCUCCACCCAACUCCAGCAGUGUGUGGAUUUCCGACAGAAACUGCACGCCUUUUCAUUUCAGAAACUGAAAUGUUUGACCGAGGGAUGUAUGCCGGACCGGUUGGUUGGUUCGGAGGAGGAGAAAGUGAGUUUGCAGUUGGUAUAAGGUCAGCAUUAGUGGAAAAGGUGAGCUAAUAGUUUUAACAAUAACCUCUAUCAGUACAUACUUCACUUUUGAGUGAACAUACUAUUCCACAUCAAAGCUCUCCUAUCCCAAUGAUCUCGAACAAAAUUAUUAGCUUAUUAUACUUGUAGUGACUCAGGUUAAUCAUUUUAAACUGUAGCAAGAAAGCACUUAUACUGUUACCAAAAUAUUUGACUGUUUAAGUUGGUAGGAUUUCGGAGCAUUGAUAUACGCUGGAACAGGGAUAGUAGAAGGCAGCAAUCCCUCUUUAGAAUGGGAUGAAGUAGAACUCAAGACAUCUCAGUUCACCAAGUUGCUUCAACUUGAGGUUCCCUGGCAAU